UAUGUUGGGAAGGGAUAAACGCUGAAAGCAUCUAAGCGUGAAGCCCACCUCAAGAUUAGAUUUCCCAUAGCGUAAGCUAGUAAGACCCCUGAAAGACUAUCAGGUUGAUAGGUUGGAGGUGUAAGUACAGUAAUGUAUUCAGCUGACCAAUACUAAUAGGUCGAGGGCUUGAUCAAAUA
rnacentral:rRNA from 1 species